AAAGAGGAAUCAGAACAAAAAGUAAUGGUGCACGGUGCAGCCGUGAUUCCUGCUCAGUGCGCUUAAACCGGCUGGGAAAAUACUCGUGCGGGACAGAACACACAAAUAUGAUUUUGCUUUCACGCGAGUCCGACAGUCACAGGAGUGAGGAUCCGGUCAAAACUCAAGCGUACAAGCAGGAACACGACGUCCGUUCAUACAAGCUCUGUUGAACUAAUCAGGGUUGAUUCAGGGCAGCACCAAAUCGUACCGGAUUACACCGGGAAGAUAAGAAACCUGAAGGCAUCAGUGCCAGCAAGCAGUGAUCUGCGAACGGAAAGCGAUACGUUUUUAACCAGCCUAGCAAACACGAAACGGAAAACGCCUUCCAAGAGAAGUGAGUAAAUCACAGCGAUUAUAGAUUUUAUGAAGACACGUGGAAUAUUGUAGGGCUCCUUUUCCGAUACUAAGUGUCCUACUUCAAACAUCGGAACUCAGCUACCGGCUCAUCAGAAGUUCCAUCAAGGCAUCGGUCGAACAGGAACAAUUCGCAAGCCGGUUCAGUUGGUGGAAGGAAUCUGGUUACCGCACCUGCGUCCAUGUGCGCAGCAAGAGUACAAGCAGUUAAUAGGAGACCGUGAUGCAAUAGGUCCCACGGUCGGGCUCAGGGGGAUUUUGCCAGCACUAAUGAGGGCAUGCCGGAUGGAAUUGAAGGUGGCGAGACACACGAUUUAUGUCGUGAGAUGCCGCAGCGGUAUGGCGGGGCCGUGCGUACUAGCUUUCAAGAAGUGAGUACAAUCAGUAGGCCGGAAGGGCAAAGCAGCAGCAAUAGGUGGAUAGAAGAAGCCAGAGGAAAUAGAGAAAUGUGUGAAGAGAGAUUAAUAAAGGGGUAGGGUGUUGAGCCCAUUUACGCCAUGUUUCUAUUAUCACCUUACCCAUUUGAAACCGUUGGUUGGAGCAGUGUUUGCCAUCUUUGUUCAACACAUUGAGUCAAAUGGUAGCGCAACAAUAGGGGCACUCGAUUCGAGUUUUCGUUGCACUCAAACACAAGAAUUUCACUGUUUUCAGUUCAUUUGUGUUAUUAUAUUGGCUCUUAACAACUAAGCAAAGCUAUUGAUAUCAAUUUUUACGCAUU